CCUGACCCUGGCAGGGCAUCUCACUCUUAUCAGUACCACCUUGAAUACAAUAACGAACCAUGUGAUGCAAUUCCAUAACAUUCCUACUAGCAUACUUAACACGCUAGAACACUGUGAACAUCACUUCUUAGAGGACUCUAACCAACAAAGAAAGAGGCUUCACCUUCUAACAUGGGACCAAGUUACCCAAGUCAAAGCCAAGGGAGGUUUGGGAAUCCAGCGCCUAUGACCUAAAAAUGAUUCUCUUCUCGCUGCUACUUCUAGGAGACUAUUCCAGAACCUACAAUCUCUCUAGUCAUCUUUCCUGAUUUCUCUCUACUAUGCCUCAUCUGGUUCCCAAAGAUGAACUAUCCCGUCUAUAAGUUGGAAAGAUCUCCUUAAAGGAUGGAAUAUCUGCCAACUGGAUUUUGUUUAGCAUAUCCGAACUGGAACCAAUGUUAGAUUCUGGACUGACCCUUGAAUUGGGCCAAAAAUACACCUACGAUCUUUUAUUUCAGGGCCUUUUAGAACCUCUGACGACCAGCGAACAGUCGAAUCUUGCCUUCACAACCAUACAUCUCUCUCCUUUAAUCUACCAUCUUAGAUUCGAUACCUAAUUAACACUCAUUACUUCUCCCAGGACCCCAACACUAAUAAGGGCUACGACCAGAUCAUUUGGGGCCUCACUCCUACAGGUAGAUUCACCGUUAGAUCAUGUUAUCAUGCUCUUACUCUAACUCUCUCCACCCCAGACCAUUAUACCUAGAUUUGGAAACUUAAACUCCCCCCUAAACUCCACACUUUUCUUUGGCUAAUCAUUAAUCAACCCUUACCAACAUCUGUGUAUCUUUACCACAUCGGAAUCCUCCAAUCCCCCAUUUGCACAACCUGCCACUUUGUACCUGAAUUUAUUGACCAUAUAUUUUGCCACUGUUCUGCUGCCAAAGCUCUUUGGCACCAACUUCAACUUCUUCAUUAGAUUCUAUCAUUGCUAGGUUCUACCUCUUCUGCACCAUCUACUUGGCUCAACUAUUUACUUUAUAGGCACCAUUUACCUUCUCUUGUGUUAUCCAUACCAUCGACUAUCUUCUUCUCCUUCCUACUCUGGUAUCUCUGGUUAACUCGAAAUAAAAACACAUUCAAAAAUGCCAAAAUCCAACCUUCACUACAUGCAGUUCUUAUGCUUAGUCGUGAAUUUUGCCACGCACGUCAGCUUACCAUCUCAACACACCAUCCCAACAGACAUUCUAUGACUCGAACACUACCUACUAUCGAUCCUAACACUAUCUUUCUCCAUAUUGAUGCUUCCGAUCCCACUAUAUCUGCUCUGGCGGGGAUCGGUGGGGCUCUCAGAACCCACUCAGGUCCCUCCUAAAACUGCUCCAUGAUCCUCUUAUCUACCACAUGUACAGGGAGUUCAACAUAGUAACAGACAGUUUGACAAAUUUUGGUACAUCAAUCACGGGAAGUGAUAUCACAUUUUGGUUUGAAGCUCCUCUUUUCGUACGUAAACUACUAGAUAUAGAUAGUGAAAGGUUUAGUAAUAAUAGGUUUCAUCUUGCUUCCCCAUUUCCCUACCAUCCUCUGAUUUGUAAUGCAGUUCUUCCUGCACCUAGUACUUCUAACGAUUGUGUUUGUAAUAAUGCCUUCGGGCACCUCCCUGUACUGUUUUAAUAUAUACUAGUGUUAAUCUUGUUUACCAAAAAAAACAAUUAAACAUACUAUAUACUUGCAUAAAAUGUUACCAUACUUCGCUAUGGUAAAAAUAAGAGGAAGGAUAAACAUUAUUACAAGAACCAUUUUACUUUAGAAAGCUAAAGAAGAGAAAAGUAGAAGAAAUACAGUUAUUCACAUAAAUAUUUUUUCAUAUUAAUUCAAAAUUAGAUAAGUUGAAAAAUAUCUCAUUUAGCUUCAUUUUCUCAUUGCUAUCAAAGAAAUAAUAAAGGAAAUAUUGUAUAUCAUUAAGUGAAUACAAUUUACUCUUUUUUUUGCUAUUUAUAUAUUUGGAUGAAUAUAAAAAAAAAUUAUUUUUAAGCAUAACAAGCUCUUUCUUAACCAUACGAAGUGCACAAAAAAUUCUCUAAGCAAUAUAUAAUAAUAAAGGAGAAUGCAGAAGAGGUGAUGUGGCAACUCUCAAUGGCUUCUAUUCCUAUUUUUCUUUUUUUUUCUCUCUUUCUUGUUAUUUUUUCAUCAUUUUUUCUUAUUUAUUAUAUUUAGAAGCUCAUGUAAAGUCAAUACUAGAACAAACGUAGAAAGUAAAUGAAAGAAAUGAAGGGUCAUGGCAAUUAACAUCGGCGUCAGUUACCACAAAUUUAAGAAUUAAUUUUUACCUUACCCUGUCAUUACAUUGCAUCUGAAAUGUAUUUUCAUUCUCAGAGUGAGAAAGACAAGCCUCUCUCGACUGCACCUUUGUUUUAGCGAGUUUUGACCCACACGCCAAUGGAAAGCGAGGAUCCAUCCCCACCAAACCCUCCUGGAAUGGACGAUAGCCAAAUGGCAGCUGAUCCAAAUACCAAAAUAUCGUAUAGUGAUAAAGUGAAGGAAUACAAAUACUCAAGUUCCAAAUCCUUCAAUUCCCUCUUUGAGUAAGAGGAACCACCAAAUACUUAUCCACAAGAAUACGACUAAAUCCCUUUAACCACAGAAGAAAAAAUCUGAAUCCACAACCCAUGGAAAUUCCCAAUCAUUAUUAAGGUAUUUAGCCAGAAACUAAACCAUCAAUACCUAAAAAUUAAAAUCACGGAUCUAUGGAAAGUAAAAGAAUAUAUUACCUUAAUAGAUCAGGGGAUUGAUUUCCUUAAGGUCAAAUUUAGCAUGAAAGACGGACAAAAAAGGGUUCUACAAGAGGGACCCCGGUUUAUUGUAGGGUCCUUCCUGGCGGUUCGCAAUUAGAAACCCAAUUUCAUUCCCUCCGAAAAAAAUCCAAUCCACUACGGUUUGACUUUGGUUACCUCAGUUACCCAUAGAGUUUUAAGAUCUAACAAUUCUUAAAAAUACAGGGAGAAAAUUAGGGAAAUUAGUCAAUAUCAAAGCAUGCACAUCUCCAACUCUACGCAGUAUGUAUGCUAGGGUUUAUGUACAAGUCCCAGUAGAGGUCCCGAUAAAAACAACUAUCACAAUUAGAAAUCAUUAACAUACCAUUUUGUAUAAAGGGGACAGGUUUCUUUGCAAGGCUUGUAGUCGUUUGGGUCAUACAGCCGGAAAUUAUUAAUAUUCAAAAGUACAAAACCAUAACCUGGUGAUCAUGACUCCAACCCCCAACAAAGGAGGAUCAACCACAAGAAUGAAAAAUUGUCCAAUUCAAGCGAGGGAGGAAUUAGAAACCAAUGGAUAAGUCAAGAGAGGAUCCAACCCCCCACCCCAAAGUAACAUCAAGGUCAAUCUCUUUGAUGCUCAAUCACGUAAGUUUUUAGAGACCCAUAACUUCCAAUACCUUUCAUCUUCAUUCUCUCUAGCUACCUCGAUCAGAGACAAUAUAGGGCCAAAACCUGAGAAGGUCAAGUUGGGUCACUCACAAGCAGACAACAAAAAGCUUGGGCUAAGGGUUUCUAACCCAAGCCCAACUAAAAAGUGGCUUAUUACUUGGUAGCUGCCUUUGGGUCAAAAGAUAUUCUAGCCCAACCCACUCACUCCUCUCUUAAUUUAAUUGGGCUAAUUAACCCAAAAUAAAAACAUGUUAUUAAUAAUAACUUGGUGAAAGACCCCACCUUCAAUAAAUCAAAAGAGGCAAAUCCAACUAAUAGUGGUUAUACCUCAGAUUAUGCUCUAAACUCUCUAAGUGGUUUUCCUCGAGAUUCUAAUUCCUCCUAUUUUUUUCACUCAAAUAGUUCUUCUUUUAUCAAUCAAAUUGAAAUAUUUGAUUUGAAUUCUAAGAAAGUAAUAGUCAUAUCGAUAGAGGAAUCAUUAGGAACUAGCUCCACAAAAAAUAACCCCUUUAAUAUGGUUACUUAUUGCACUUUCUCCUCUAUCUUACCAACUCUUAUUCUAGAGUCUCACAAUCUCCCUACUCUUGAUCAUAAUGUCCUUUCAACCUCCAGUAAUGGAAGUACAGCUAGGAACCAUCACACUUAUAACAGAACCAUUUCCAUUAAGCCACCAAUCUACACCAUGGCUAGAGAUGGUCCUCUUAAAUCAAGUUGUCCCCUUCAGAGUCCAAAUAUAAGGGAAAUAAUACAUUCUGAUCAUCUAGAACCCCCUUUACUUAGCCCAGCUGAUCAUGGAGGGUUUUUACUUAGGAUUAGAGAAAUUUGGUCAGAAUAUAUGAAGGACAGUUUUGAUUGGUUUUAUCAGCCAACCCUUUCAAGGGAUCCUAUCUCUAGAGACACUGGUAGUAAUUAUAAACUAAGCCAGUCUCACUCUACCCUUUAUUCCUCAGAGUAUUCCAGGAAGGCUGGAAUCACGACCAACCUUUGUGAGGGUCCCUCAGGUCCCCCUACAUAUAUGGACCCUCGGCCUUUGAAUUAGAACCUAGAAAUGACAAGAGGAAAAAAUUCUAAACUCUUAGAGAUAAAAACAGUAGAGAAAUCAAUUUGAUCUUGGAAUCCCUCAAAAUACCAAGAUCAGAGGUACUUGUACUAGAAAGUCAGUAGCUUCGAGGAUUGAGGAUGCGAUAAUUGAAAUAGAAAUAAUUCUCCUACCACAAACCUUAAUAACGUUCAGUCUAGAGUCUUUCUACCAGAGACAAGGAGCCCUAACUAUUGCUUCAGAACCAAAAUAUCCCCCAUGAAAAUGAAAAUUAAGAACACAAAAUCUUUUAUUUUCCACCCCCUCUAGAGAAGGGGAAGGAGAUUCUUUUGGAACCACCCCCACAACCAAACAAGCUCCUGAUGAACUACAUAUUAUGGAAUGAUAGGGGAGCCCAUAGCUCUGAGCUUAGGUGAAAUUGUAGGUCAAUGGUGUAUAUCCAUAAGCUAUCCAUUCUUACCCUGCUUGAAAAUAAAAUGAGUGGACAUUAAGCUAUCCUUGAGAAGUUAGGAUUUUCUAACAAAAUUUAAUACCCGACUUCUGGAAAUUCUGGAGGACUUACCAUCAUGUGGAGUGACAAUAACCUUUACAUCACUAAUAUAUAUUUGUCCCAGCAGACCUUUCAUGUUUCAUUCUAGUUAGAGAAGGGAGAGAUAUUGUAAGAAGCUCAGACCCACAGAUGACUGGAUGAUUUCAAAAUCCCUAGCUGCUCAAGUUAAAGAUCUGACCUCUGGACCCCUGAUCUACUAAGAGUCCUAUUUUUGUUGGCUGUUGUAGAUAGGCUAAGUAGUUAUUUUCUCUUUUUGUAUGCCUUCUGACACUGUAAAUAUGAUGCAUAUGGAUAACUUUGCUGUAGCACCUCCAGUCUUUCUAUGUUUUGGAUACUGCUAGCCUUAAGUAUGAACAUUGGUGCUUAUCACUGUUUAGAAUCUUUCUACCCAUGCUUGGUAUCUGUUGGAAUAUUAUGUAUGUAAAGGACUCUUCUUCCAAAAAUAUAUUGGCCAAGUAAUCUUCUAAUUAGUUGCCUUCUCUAUAGAUAUGAACUAUCUGAACUUGCUUUAUAGCUAUUAAUUGCCAUAUUUCCCUAAUUGUAUCUUAUAGGUUCCAUGGCAUCUCUCAUUCCCCUAUUAACAACUUAUGCGUCAUUAAUGAAUCUGUCUGUAUUAUCACUUUGUCUUGCCCUAAUGAAUUGUUAUGUCUUGUUGCAUUUAGAAUAGCCAUAGCCUCUGCUUCCAAGCUAUUUGUAUCCUCCAUUGAAGCUUCUUCUGCAUGAAUUAGAUCCCCUUUUUCAUCUCUUAAGCAAAAAGCCCAAAGUAAAUUCUCUAGAUGGUCGCCCAUGUUAGGGAAAUUGCCUACAAAUAUCAUUUUUGUUUCAUUUAGGACAAGAAUAUCACUCAACUUUUUCUAUUUUCCUUAAAAUAUACUUAACACCUCAAAAAUCCUCUCUCUCCUACUUGAA